UACGUAGGGUGCGAGCGUUAAUCGGAAUUACUGGGCGUAAAGCGUGCGCAGGCGGUUUUGUAAGACAGGCGUGAAAUCCCCGGGCUCACCUGGGAAUGGCGCUUGUGACUGCAAGCUGGAGUGCGGCAGAGGGGAUGGAAUUCCGCGUGUAGCAGUGAAAUGCGUAGAUAUGCGGAGGAACACCGAUGGCGAAGGCAAUCCCCUGGGCCUGCACUGACGCUCAUGCACGAAAGCGUGGGAGCAAACAGG
rnacentral:rRNA from 1 species